rnacentral:rRNA from 1 species
GACGAACGCUGGCGGCGUGCUUAACACAUGCAAGUCGAACGGAAAGGCCCUGCUUUUGUGGGGUGCUCGAGUGGCGAACGGGUGAGUAACACGUGAGUAACCUGCCCUUGACUUUGGGAUAACUUCAGGAAACUGGGGCUAAUACCGGAUAGGAGCUCCUGCUGCAUGGUGGGGGUUGGAAAGUUUCGGCGGUUGGGGAUGGACUCGCGGCUUAUCAGCUUGUUGGUGGGGUAGUGGCUUACCAAGGCUUUGACGGGUAGCCGGCCUGAGAGGGUGACCGGCCACAUGGGGAGUGAGAUACGGCCCAGACCCCCACGGGGGGCAGGAGUGGGGAAUAUUGCACAAUGGGCGGAAGCCUGAUGCAGCAACCCCGCGUGCGGGAUGACGGCCUUCGGGUUGUAAACCGCUUUCGCCUGUGACGAAGCGUGAGUGACGGUAAUGGGUAAAGAAGCACCGGCUAACUACGU